rnacentral:sRNA from 13 species
UUCUAUAAUCAAGCAGUUCAACAAAUGCCAACGACGAAGCCUCUUCAUACCUUGAGAACGCCGCUAGCCGCGGUCGCGCUCAUCUUAUCACU